UGUGGCUAUCAAUAUUCGGGUACCCAUAUAGGGUAUAAUAGGGAAGCCGGUGAAAAACCGGCGCGGCCCCGCCACU
rnacentral:ncRNA from 2 species